GAUGAACGCUGGCGGCGUGCCUAAUACAUGCAAGUCGAGCGAACAGACGAGGAGCUUGCUCCUCUGACGUUAGCGGCGGACGGGUGAGUAACACGUGGAUAACCUACCUAUAAGACUGGGAUAACUUCGGGAAACCGGAGCUAAUACCGGAUAAUAUAUUGAACCGCAUGGUUCAAUAGCGAAAGACGGUUUUGCUGUCACUUAUAGAUGGAUCCGCGCCGCAUUAGCUAGUUGGUAAGGUAACGGCUUACCAAGGCAACGAUGCGUAGCCGACCUGAGAGGGUGAAUGGCCAAACUGGAACUGAGACAAGGUCCAGACUCCUACGGGAGGGCACAGGUGGGAAUCUUCCGCAAUGGGCGAAAGCUUGACGGAGCAACGCCGCGUGAGUGAUGAAGGUCUUCGGAUCGUAAAACUCUGUUAUUAGGGAAGAACAAAUGUGUAAGUAACUAUGCACGUCUUGACGGUACCUAAUCAGAAAGCCACGGCUAACUACGUG
rnacentral:rRNA from 1 species